rnacentral:misc_RNA from 1 species
AAGUCGUAACAAGGUCUCCGUUGGUGAACCAGCGGAGGGAUCAUUAAAGAGUUGCAAAACUCCUUAAAACCCACUGUGCGAAAAUAACUGUCGCCUCCUGAUGAAAGCAAACCCGGCAAGCGGUCCCUGGGGAGGGGGCCUACAGCCUAAGGCGCCUGCCGGACUGCAUUUUCAAAAAAUCUUUAUUAUUCUCUUAGCAUCUGAGUUCAUAACAAAAUACGUUAAAACUUUCAACAACGGAUCUCUUGGUUCUG